rnacentral:rRNA from 1 species
UACGAAGGGGGCUAGCGUUGUUCGGAAUCGACUGGGCGUAAAGCGCUCGUAGGCGGAUCUUUAAGUCAGAGGUGAAAGUCCCAACGGCUCAACCUUGGAACUGCCUUUGAUACUGGGGAUCUCGAGUCGGGAGAGGUGAGUGGAACUGCGAGUGUAAGAGGUGAAUUCGUAGAUAAUUCGCAAGAACACCAGUGGCGAAGGCGGCUCACUGGCCCGUACUGACGCUGAGGAGCGAAAGCGUGGGGAGCAAACAGG